rnacentral:lncRNA from 1 species
AAUACCCAAGUAGUAGUAUCACAAACAAAAAAAUUAUAAGGAGUUAUCAUAUAAGUACCUUAUGAAGCAACCGUUUGCUUCUUUCUCUUGUUCUUAGGUCUGUUUGGAUCAAGGGUGGUUAUAUAAGCAGGAUAAUUUCUCUUCCAAUGAUCCAACUUCUUACAGAAGAAGUAUUCUACCUGACUCUUAUCAACUUUUGAUAUUUUGCUUUGCUUA